GUUAUAUGGUCAAGUGAAGAAGCGCAUACGGUGGAUGCCUUGGCAGUCAGAGGCGAUGAAAGACGUGGUAGCCUGCGAAAAGCUUCGGGGAGUCGGCAAACAGACUUUGAUCCGGAGAUCUCUGAAUGGGGGAACCCACCUAGGAUAACCUAGGUAUCUUGUACUGAAUCCAUAGGUGCAAGAGGCGAACCAGGGGAACUGAAACAUCUAAGUACCCUGAGGAAAAGAAAUCAACCGAGAUUCCCUUAGUAGUGGCGAGCGAACGGGGAUUAGCCCUUAAGCUUCAUUGAUUUUAGCGGAACGCUCUGGAAAGUGCGGCCAUAGUGGGUGAUAGCCCCGUACGCGAAAGGAUCUUUGAAGUGAAAUCGAGUAGGACGGAGCACGAGAAACUUUGUCUGAACAUGGGGGGACCAUCCUCCAAGGCUAAAUACUACUGACUGACCGAUAGUGAACCAGUACCGUGAGGGAAAGGCGAAAAGAACCCCGGAGAGGGGAGUGAAAUAGAACCUGAAACCGUAUGCGUACAAGCAGUGGGAGCCUACUUGUUAGGUUUGUAUAAUGGGUCAGCGACUUAUAUUCAGUGGCAAGCUUAACCGUAUAGGGUAGGCGUAGCGAAAGCGAGUCUUAAUAGGGCGUUUAGUCGCUGGGUAUAGACCCGAAACCGGGCGAUCUAUCCAUGAGCAGGUUGAAGGUUAGGUAACACUGACUGGAGGACCGAACCCACUCCCGUUGAAAAGGUAGGGGAUGACUUGUGGAUCGGAGUGAAAGGCUAAUCAAGCUCGGAGAUAGCUGGUUCUCCUCGAAAGCUAUUUAGGUAGCGCCUCAUGUAUCACUCUGGGGGUAGAGCACUGUUUCGGCUAGGGGGUCAUCCCGACUUACCAAACCGAUGCAAACUCCGAAUACCCAGAAGUGCCGAGCAUGGAGACACACGGCGGGUGCUAACGUCCGUCGUGAAAAGGGAAACAACCCAGACCGCCAGCUAAGGUCCCAAAGUUGUGGUUAAGUGGUAAACGAUGUGGGAAGGCUUAGACAGCUAGGAGGUUGGCUUAGAAGCAGCCAUCCUUUAAAGAAAGCGUAAUAGCUCACUAGUCGAGUCGGCCUGCGCGGAAGAUGUAACGGGGCUCAAACCACACACCGAAGCUGCGGGUGUCACGUAAGUGACGCGGUAGAGGAGCGUUCUGUAAGCCUGUGAAGGUGAGUUGAGAAGCUUGCUGGAGGUAUCAGAAGUGCGAAUGCUGACAUGAGUAACGACAAUGGGUGUGAAAAACACCCACGCCGAAAGACCAAGGGUUCCUGCGCAACGUUAAUCGACGCAGGGUUAGUCGGUUCCUAAGGCGAGGCUGAAAAGCGUAGUCGAUGGGAAACAGGUUAAUAUUCCUGUACUUCUGGUUACUGCGAUGGAGGGACGGAGAAGGCUAGGCCAGCUUGGCGUUGGUUGUCCAAGUUUAAGGUGGUAGGCUGAAAUCUUAGGUAAAUCCGGGGUUUCAAGGCCGAGAGCUGAUGACGAGUCGUCUUUUAGAUGACGAAGUGGUUGAUGCCAUGCUUCCAAGAAAAGCUUCUAAGCUUCAGGUAACCAGGAACCGUACCCCAAACCGACACAGGUGGUCGGGUAGAGAAUACCAAGGCGCUUGAGAGAACUCGGGUGAAGGAACUAGGCAAAAUGGCACCGUAACUUCGGGAGAAGGUGCGCCGGCUAGGGUGAAGGAUUUACUCCGUAAGCUCUGGCUGGUCGAAGAUACCAGGCCGCUGCGACUGUUUAUUAAAAACACAGCACUCUGCAAACACGAAAGUGGACGUAUAGGGUGUGACGCCUGCCCGGUGCCGGAAGGUUAAUUGAUGGGGUUAGCGCAAGCGAAGCUCUUGAUCGAAGCCCCGGUAAACGGCGGCCGUAACUAUAACGGUCCUAAGGUAGCGAAAUUCCUUGUCGGGUAAGUUCCGACCUGCACGAAUGGCGUAACGAUGGCGGCGCUGUCUCCACCCGAGACUCAGUGAAAUUGAAAUCGCUGUGAAGAUGCAGUGUAUCCGCGGCUAGACGGAAAGACCCCGUGAACCUUUACUGUAGCUUUGCACUGGACUUUGAGCCUGCUUGUGUAGGAUAGGUGGGAGGCUUUGAAGCGUGGACGCCAGUUCGCGUGGAGCCAUCCUUGAAAUAC
rnacentral:rRNA from 1 species